GGGGGUAUAGCUCAUUUGGUAGAGCGUUUGUCUGGCAGACAAAAGGUCAGCGGUUCAACUCCGCUUAUCUCCA
rnacentral:tRNA from 1 species